rnacentral:rRNA from 1 species
CCAGCAGCCGCGGUAAUUCCAGCUCCAAUAGCGUAUAUUAAAGUUGUUGCAGUUAAAAAGCUCGUAGUUGAAUUUCUGGCCGGCGCUGUUCACGGCUCUCGCAGUCGGUUCAGGAGCCUGGUCAUCCGUAUGGGAAGCUAGCACGUCCUUCAGUGGUCGGCUAGUGGAUCAUACACUUUACUUUGAAAAAAUUAGAGUGUUUCAGGCAGGCAAUUGCUUGGAUACUGCAGCAUGGAAUAAUGGAAUAGGACUUUGACCUAUUUGUUGGUUUCUUGAGGUCAAAGUAAUGAUUAAUAGGGACAGUUGGGGGCAUCCGUAUUUAAUUGUCAGAGGUGAAAUUCUUGGAUUUAUUAAAGACGAACU